rnacentral:rRNA from 1 species
AGCGAACGCUGGCGGCAGGCUUAAUACAUGCAAGUCGAGCGCGUAGCAAUACGAGCGGCAGACGGGUGAGUAACGCGUGGGAAUCUACCCAGCUCUACGGAAUAACCCAGGGAAACUUGGGCUAAUACCGUAUACGUCCGAUAGGAGAAAGAUUUAUCGGAGUUGGAUGAGCCCGCGUUGGAUUAGCUAGUUGGUGGGGUAAUGGCC